rnacentral:rRNA from 1 species
GACAGAGGAUGCAAGCGUUAUCCGGAAUGAUUGGGCGUAAAGCGUCUGUAGGUGGCUUUUUAAGUCCGCCGUCAAAUCCCAGGGCUCAACCCUGGACAGGCGGUGGAAACUACCAAGCUGGAGUACGGUAGGGGCAGGAGGGAAUUUCCGGUGGAGCGGUGAAAUGCGUAGAGUAUGGCGAAGGAACACCAACGGCGAAAGCACUCUGCUGGGCCGACACUGACACUGAGAGACGAAAGCUAGGGGAGCGAAUGGGAUUAGAACCUUC